AGCUUAAAUGGAUUGAUUGGUACUACCUAUAUCAACAAGGUGCAUCUUGUUUUUCGGUAGCCCAUCUCGAAAGAACUCCACAGUUAAGCGUGCUUGGCCUGGAGCAAUUUCAAGGAUGGGUGACCUCCUGGGAAGUUUGCCCAGGAAGCGUGUGAGUGAGGACAAAGCACGCUGGAAACACUCGUGUUGGUCUGUAGGGUCAGUCAUCAGUCCAUGAAGCAGCCAAAGUGACGUACUCGUGUAUAAGAGCCAUUCAUUCCGUGGGUGUAAGGACCCAAUGGAGGCUUGAAGCGGGGACGUUACAAAUGUAUUGUGACAGUCAGUAGUCGCGUGAUCCGUAAGGGGAAACACCGGGUAAGCUGUGCAAUCCCACACUGCCUGGGGAAGGUCAAGUGGGAUGAUUCUGAGACUGUGUAGGUAUGGGACUAAACAGUUGAAGAGGGCUUAAAUGGAUUGAUUGGUACUACCUAUAUCAACAAGGUGCAUCUUAUU